GUUCUGUUAACAGUUAAUAUUAGACAAAUUACACAUUUUUUAACCCUGACGACCAUGUUGAUUGAUAAGCAGGAUGAACACACAAAGCUUUAUAUUAGAUACCAUAAGGAUCAUUACAGCCAAGUUUGUAAGGAAUUGGUCCAGUGAUAACAGACAGAUCUAUUUUUAAAAAGCAUAAAGACGUCGACGAUGGACGCAAACUAAUGGUAAGGCCCUCAACGUUAAUUCAAAACUACUUCUCACGGUAUAUCUACGGAAACGUUGAAAUAACUUAUAAUCAGAACAGUAAUUGUAGUUGAUUUAAAGGAAAGACGAAGAAAUUCUUUUGGUAACCUGCUAAGUUAGUUGCAUGGAACGGAUUAAAAACCAAAUGUUACAAACAUUUCUAUGUUUUCAAUUGAAUGGUGGAAGACAAAUGAAGAAUAAUCCGAACAGUCACUGCAUAAAGAAUUUUUCAACGAUAGGGUGAACAAGCCUUAUGAUCAGUAAAAUUGGGAAAGGAAAUGGGGAAUGUGUCAAAGCGACAAAAAACCGACCAUAGAGCAGACAACAAGCGAAGGCCACCAAUGGGUCUUCAUGUAGCGAGAAACUCCCGCAC
rnacentral:lncRNA from 1 species